UCCGGCGGAUCCGAGCGUUAUCCGGAUUUAUUGGGUUUAAAGGGUGCGUAGGCGGCCUUUUAAGUCAGCGGUAAAAUGUCCGGGCUCAACCCGGGCCGGCCGUUGAAACUGGGGAUCUUGAGUGGGCGAGAAGUAUGCGGAAUGCGUGGUGUAGCGGUGAAAUGCUUAGAUAUCACGAAGAACUCCGAUUGCGAAGGCAGCUCACUGGACUGAAACUGACGCUCAGGCACGAAAGCGUGGGGAGCAAAUAGG
rnacentral:rRNA from 1 species